rnacentral:rRNA from 1 species
CGGCAGCAGAGAGUGUGGUAUCUGCUCAGGAUGAUCGCUGCGGCGUGCUAUACAUGCAGUCGAGCGACUGAUUAGAAGCUGCUCUAUGACGUAGCGGCGGACGGGUGAGUAACACGUGGGCAACCUGCCUGUAAGACUGGGAUAACUUCGGGAAACCGAAGCUAAUACUGGAUAGGAUCUUCUCGUUCAUGGGAGAUGAUUGAAAGAUGGUUUCGGCUAUCACUUACAGAUGGGCCCGCGGUGCAUAGCUAGUUGGUGAGGUAACGGCUCACCAAGGCAACGAUGCAUAGCCGACCUGAGAGGGUGAUCGGCCACACUGGGACUGAGACACGGCCCAGACUCCUACGGGAGGCAGCAGUAGGGAAUCUUCCGCAAUGGACGAAAGUCUGACGGAGCAACGCCGCGUGAGUGAUGAAGGCUUUCGGGUCGUAAAACUCUGUUGUUAGGGAAGAACAAGUACGAGAGUAACUGCUCGUACCUUGACGGUACCUAACCAGAAAGCCACGGCUAACUACGUGCCAGCAGCCGCGGUAAUACGUAGGUGGCAAGCGUUAUCCGGAAUUAUUGGGCGUAAAGCGCGCGCAGGCGGUUUCUUAAGUCUGAUGUGAAAGCCCACGGCUCAACCGUGGAGGGUCAUUGGAAACUGGGGAACUUGAGUGCAGAAGAGAAAAGCGGAAUUCCACGUGUAGCGGUGAAAUGCGUAGAGAUGUGGAGGAACACCAGUGGCGAAGGCGGCUUUUUGGUCUGUAACUGACGCUGAGGCGCGAAAGCGUGGGGAGCAAACAGGAUUAGAUACCCUGGUAGUCCACGCCGUAAACGAUGAGUGCUAAGUGUUAGAGGGUUUCCGCCCUUUAGUGCUGCAGCUAACGCAUUAAGCACUCCGCCUGGGGAGUACGGUCGCAAGACUGAAACUCAAAGGAAUUGACGGGGGCCCGCACAAGCGGUGGAGCAUGUGGUUUAAUUCGAAGCAACGCGAAGAACCUUACCAGGUCUUGACAUCCUCUGACAACUCUAGAGAUAGAGCGUUCCCCUUCGGGGGACAGAGUGACAGGUGGUGCAUGGUUGUCGUCAGCUCGUGUCGUGAGAUGUUGGGUUAAGUCCCGCAACGAGCGCAACCCUUGAUCUUAGUUGCCAGCAUUUAGUUGGGCACUCUAAGGUGACUGCCGGUGACAAACCGGAAGAAAGUGGGGAUGACGUCCAAUCAUCAUGCCCCUUAUGACCUGGGCUACACACGUGCUACAAUGGAAGGUACAAAGGGCUGCAAGACCGCGGGGUCAAGCCCAUCCCAUAAAAACAUUCUCAGUUCGGAAUGUAAGCCGCAACUCGCCUACCUGAAACUGGAAUCGCUUGUAAUCGCGGAUCAAGAAGCCGCGGUGAAAACCUUCCCGGGCCUUGUACACACCGCCCCGCACACCACGAGAGUUUGGUACACCCGAAAUCCGUGGAGUAACCGUAAUGAGCUAGCCCCCCAAAGGGGGACAAAAGAAUGGGGGUGAAAUCCGUACAGGGGGAACCCUUA